rnacentral:rRNA from 1 species
UAGUCCACGCCGUAAACGAUGGAUACUAGCUGUGUGGUUUUCGGACUGCGCGGCCAAGCGAAAGUGAUGAGUAUCCCACCUGGGGAGUACGUUCGCAAGAAUGAAACUCAAAGGAAUUGACGGGGGCCCGCACAAGCGGUGGAGCAUGUGGUUUAAUUCGAUGAUACGCGAGGAGCCUUACCAGGGCUUAAAUGUAGUAUGACAGGACUAGAGAUAGUUUUUUCUUCGGACAUAUUACAAGGUGCUGCAUGGUUGUCGUCAGCUCGUGCCGUGAGGUGUCAGGUUAAGUCCUAUAACGAGCGCAACCCCUGUUGUUAGUUGCCAGCACAUUAAGGUGGGGACUCUAACAAGACUGCCGGUGCAAACCGUGAGGAAGGUGGGGAUGACGUCAAAUCAUCACGGCCCUUACGUCCUGGGCCACACACGUGCUACAAUGGCCGGUACAGCGGGCAGCCACUACGCAAGUAGGAGCGAAUCCACAAAACCGGUCACAGUUCGGA